UACAGAGGGUGCGAGCGUUAAUCGGAAUUACUGGGCGUAAAGCGUGCGCAGGCGGUUUUGUAAGUCAGAUGUGAAAUCCCCGGGCUUAACCUGGGAACUGCGUUUGAAACUACAAGGCUAGAGUGUAGCAGAGGGGGGUGGAAUUCCACGUGUAGCAGUGAAAUGCGUAGAGAUGUGGAGGAACACCGAUGGCGAAGGCAGCCCCCUGGGUUAACACUGACGCUGAGGCACGAAAGCGUGGGGGAGCAAACAGG
rnacentral:rRNA from 1 species